rnacentral:rRNA from 1 species
AGUCGAACGGAAAGGCCCUGCUUGCAGGGUACUCGAGUGGCGAACGGGUGAGUAACACGUGGGUGAUCUGCCCUGCACUUCGGGAUAAGCUUGGGAAACUGGGUCUAAUACCGGAUAGGAGCCAUCUUUAGUGUGGUGGUUGGAAAGUUUUUUCGGUGUAGGAUGAGCUCGCGGCCUAUCAGCUUGUUGGUGGGGUAAUGGCCUACCAAGGCGGCGACGGGUAGCCGGCCUGAGAGGGUGUACGGCCACAUUGGGACUGAGAUACGGCCCAGACUCCUACGGGAGGCAGCAGUGGGGAAUAUUGCACAAUGGGCGCAAGCCUGAUGCAGCGACGCCGCGUGGGGGAUAAAGGCCUUCGGGUUGUAAACUCCUUUCGCUAGGGACGAAGCUUUGUGUGACGGUACCUAGAUAAGAAGCACCGGCUAACUACGUGCCAGCAGCCGCGGUAAUACGUAGGGUGCGAGCGUUGUCCGGAAUUACUGGGCGUAAAGGGCUCGUAGGUGGUUUGUCGCGUCGUCUGUGAAAUUCUGGGGCUUAACUCCGGGCGUGCAGGCGAUACGGGCAUAACUUGAGUGCUGUAGGGGUAACUGGAAUUCCUGGUGUAGCGGUGAAAUGCGCAGAUAUCAGGAGGACACCGAUGGCGAAGGCAGGUUACUGGGCAGUUACUGACGCUGAGGAGCGA